AGUGAACGCUGGCGGUAGGCCUAACACAUGCAAGUCGAACCGCAGCACAGUAAGAGCUUGCUCUUACGGGUGGCGAGUGGCGGACGGGUGAGGAAUACAUCGGAAUCUACUUUUUCGUGGGGGAUAACGUAGGGAAACUUACGCUAAUACCGCAUACGACCUACGGGUGAAAGCAGGGGAUCUUCGGACCUUGCGCGAUUGAAUGAGCCGAUGUCGGAUUAGCUAGUUGGCGGGGUAAAGGCCCACCAAGGCGACGAUCCGUAGCUGGUCUGAGAGGAUGAUCAGCCACACUGGAACUGAGACACGGUCCAGACUCCUACGGGAGGCAGCAGUGGGGAAUAUUGGACAAUGGGCGCAAGCCUGAUCCAGCCAUACCGAGUGGGUGAAGAAGGCCUUCGGGUUGUAAAGCCCUUUUGUUGGGAAAGAAAAGCAGCAGGUUAAUACCCCGCUGUUCUGACGGUACCCAAAGAAUAAGCACCGGCUAACUUCGUG
rnacentral:rRNA from 1 species